UCUCCUACGGGAAGGCAGCAGUGGGGAAUAUUGCACAAUGGGCGCAAGCCUGAUGCAGCCAUGCCGCGUGUGUGAAGAAGGCCUUCGGGUUGUAAAGCACUUUCAGCGGGGAGGAAGGCGGUGAGGUUAAUAACCUCAUCGAUUGACGUUACCCGCAGAAGAAGCACCGGCUAACUCCGUGCCAGCAGCCGCGGUAAUACGGAGGGUGCAAGCGUUAAUCGGAAUUACUGGGCGUAAAGCGCACGCAGGCGGUCUGUCAAGUCGGAUGUGAAAUAAGCCGGGCUCAACCUGGGAACUGCAUUCGAAACUGGCAGGCUAGAGUCUUAGA
rnacentral:rRNA from 1 species